rnacentral:misc_RNA from 1 species
CAUUGUCAAGUCAAUCUUUUCAAAGAACUUCUCAAACUUUGUUUGUAGCAUCACUACACACUGCCCGUCACUUGUGUCCCAGAUACCCUGCAAAUUGUUUAUACCCUGACACCAUUUAUAAACAAGCAGUGGUGGUGGCUCAGAAUCUGCAGGCUUAAUCCAGUUUGGAAAGAGAUGGCGCUUGUCACCUUCAUACCACAG